GCCCUUGACUGGGAAGCUGCGUAGAUAAUGCAGAUAUUUACCCACUAGAUACGAGAGUCGGUUUGAUGGCAUUUCAAACUCGUGCUUUCGAGUUGAUGCUUCUGUACUGACGAGGUUUAUUUUUUUUCAAGCAGUCAGGUCGUCGUCAAACUCAGGAAUAUGCGUUAUAUGUUAACGCUUCUUGCUAGAUUGAAGUUAAUGGCUCCUCCAUUGCUGAACACGAGGAAGUUGAAGUAAAGAAGGCAAAGGCAUUCAUUUGGAAACCUUGGAAAGAGCUAACAGAAAAAGUGGAAGCACAAAUAAAUAAUCUUGAGGACUCGGAUGAUUUUGAAGACUGGAAAUCAGAAAAUGAAGACUGGAAAUCAGAUGAUGAAGAUUACGAUGUAGCUACCCAAACUGUUUUUCCUGAAAUGACAACAGUUUCCCAAUAUGAAGAAGAGGACUGGGAUAAGGAGAUGGAAGACUCUGAAAACAAUAAAAACUCUUAUGAUGUAGACGAUAUUAUCUAUUGUGGAAGUUUCUGGGAUGGCAAUGGACAGGCAUCCUAUUCAGUUCAAGAAGAACCUCUGUAUGACCCAAGUUUACACCAUGUAGCACCGUUGACUUUGAUUCACUUAAAAGCUGUGACAGAGGACGGCCAAUUUGAAGAUGCUAUUGACUGAAACAUUCCCAGCAAUGGGACAAAAACACUUAAGUUCUAAAUCAAAUUUCUCUAUUCAACUGCACAAAAUGGAAAUGAUUGGAUACCUUAUAAGAAUCUAGAGUACUGCAAUAUUACAGAUUGUAUGAAUGCAACGUUGUAUCACCUUUUGUUUUAAACAAACUUGAAAUGAUUUAGGUUUAAUUUGUAUAUGGCUAUUGCUGUUAAAGUGCUGUUAACUAUUUUGUGUUAUUUCAGUUUUAAUUUUGGGUUUGUCUUGCAAGUCUUAACUGAAAUGUCAGUACACAUUUAUUUUCAUCUCUUGACACUCAAUAGAAGUUUCUGAAGCUAUAGUUCUAUGUUUUGGUAUGUUGGAGGUUAUUGGGACGCUGGUGGGAUGGAUAGUAACACGAUUAUUCUUCAGGAAUACAGGCUAUUUCAUUUUGUACAGCAUAUGUAUGUGUUUUAUUUAACAUAAUAAACAUGCAGAAAUGCUAGUAGAAUAUACUGUUUGGCUAGGGUCUGGAUAAUUAUGAUCACAUCUGCUAAUUUAUUUUUAAAAAAUAUUACUUUUAAAAUAACAAUGGAAAAAGAACAAA